UCCCGUUUAGCUCAGUGGUAGAGCGCGUCACUUGUAAUGAUGAGGCCAGUCGUUCGAAUCGGCUAAUGGGAA
rnacentral:tRNA from 1 species